rnacentral:rRNA from 1 species
CCUACGGGAGGCAGCAGUGAGGAAUAUUGGUCAAUGGGCGGGAGCCUGAACCAGCCAAGUCGCGUGAGGGAAGACGGUCCUAUGGAUUGUAAACCUCUUUAGGCGGGGAGCAAUGCCGGGCACGCGUGCCCGGAGGGAGAGUACCCGCAGAAUAAGCAUCGGCUAACUCCGUGCCAGCAGCCGCGGUAAUACGGAGGAUGCGAGCGUUAUCCGGAGUUAUUGGGUUUAAAGGGUGCGUAGGCGGAUUUUUAAGUCAGCGGUAAAAUGUCGGGGCUCAACCCGGGCCGGCCGUGACACUGGGGAUCUUGAGUGGGCGAGAAGUAUGCGGAAUGCGUGGUGUAGCGGUGAAAUGCAUAGAUAUCACGCAGAACUCCGAUUGCGAAGGCAGCAUACCGGCGCCCGACUGACGCUGAGGCACGAAAGCGUGGGGAUCGAACAGGAUUAGAUACCCCAGUAGUC